AGUACUUUAGAUGCACAAAAUAUAUAUUCUUACACAUAAAUGUUAAAUGAAUUGCUAAAAUAUAGGAUGCCAGUUGAUCAUGCUCAAAAAUAUUUUAGUAUCUUAUGAGGAAGAAAGUUCUUACAAAGUAGUUUUGUCAGUGGUGCUCUUAAAAGUAAACUCAGUAAUAAAGUUAUUGAUCACUUCCAUGCAAAGGUAACGGGUGUAAAAAAAGUCUUAGAGUUGAUGGGAGUCUCUCUAAAAACACAUUUUCCCAAUGAAAAAUGUGUAAACAAACAUUUUUAUAAUACAAGAAUUACAGAAAUUUGAACCUAACUCCAAAAAUGGAAUGAGAAGUCUCACUUCUGUUUCUGUAAAAAGCUCAAACUUCUCGCUCUGCCAAAGCUUUCCCCUGUUAAAGGAAAAACUUUUCCCCAGGUUUGAGGCAUGCUGCAAAUAUUCACUAUUCCAGAUGCCUUUCUACACUUGCCACUCCUACAUUCAGAAGUCCUUUACUUUUCGCAGAAUCACAGAAACACAGAAAGGACUGAGUUGGAAGGGACCCACAAGGAUCACUGAGUCCAACUCCCACAAGCCAUCCUGAUUGCCGAUUUAUAUCACACUAAUUCUUUCAAUUGAAGAACAGCAGCCGGUAUUGCAGCAGCCCUGCCAAAGAACACACUGAGAUUAUGCACUAGACCGUGACUUAGAGAAAUGGGAACAUGAUGAAUGAAGACUUUGAAGGCACAAUAAAGAGGAGUAAAAGCAAGGCAUGGGGUUUUGGAAAACAGGCCAGGAGUUGCAAGGAGUGCCUUGGUGAGGGAUGUUCUGCCAGGCAAUCUUGAGGAGCAAAGAAAAUAAGCAGACAAGAACAAAAGAAAGCAACUUAGUGUCACUUUUCUGAGCCAAAUCCCAAAGCAAGAAAAUUCACAAUGUAUCUGGUUUUUCUUACGAGGCCUAGACAGGACUCUUUUCUUCUUACGAGCUCACCAAUAUGUUGCAAGGCAGCUUCCCAUAUGCUGUGGGACCAAAUCUUCUAGGCUCUGCAGAAGGAACAGCUUUUCCUUUUUCAACAGUGCUAACUCUGCUGAGGACCUACCCAACUUCCCACAGAAAGCACUAAUCAUCAACAGAGGGAGAAGUUUGCAAGUUUUCCCGAAAGAAGGCCAAAUCUGUCUCCUCUACCUUGGGAAGGAAGGCAGUGGAUGAAAAACCAAGCAUCACCCCAUCCUUGAGACUAUGAUUACUUCAGUGAAAACAUGGAAGCUUUAAAUAAAGGUAAAGGAAAAAUAAGUGGAA